AGGGAAUCUUCGGCAAUGGACGGAAGUCUGACCGAGCAACGCCGCGUGAGUGAAGAAGGUUUUCGGAUCGUAAAGCUCUGUUGUAAGAGAAGAACGAGUGUGAGAGUGGAAAGUUCACACUGUGACGGUAUCUUACCAGAAAGGGACGGCUAACUACGUGCCAGCAGCCGCGGUAAUACGUAGGUCCCGAGCGUUGUCCGGAUUUAUUGGGCGUAAAGCGAGCGCAGGCGGUUAGAUAAGUCUGAAGUUAAAGGCUGUGGCUUAACCAUAGUAGGCUUUGGAAACUGUUUAACUUGAGUGCAAGAGGGGAGAGUGGAAUUCCAUGUGUAGCGGUGAAAUGCGUAGAUAUAUGGAGGAACACCGGUGGCGAAAGCGGCUCUCUGGCUUGUAACUGACGCUGAGGCUCGAAAGCGUGGGGAGCAAACAGGAUUAGAUACCCUGGUAGUCCACGCCGUAAACGAUGAGUGCUAGGUGUUAGACCCUUUCCGGGGUUUAGUGCCGUAGCUAACGCAUUAAGCACUCCGCCUGGGGAGUACGACCGCAAGGUUG
rnacentral:rRNA from 1 species